AUGAUGAAGACUAUGAUUCCCCCACAAGUCGGGAUGAGACUUCGGACUUCACAAAAAAAAGAGGCCAAAAAUAAGAAAAAAAAGGCCAAGGGAAAAAAAGAAAGAAAAAGAAAACAAAAGGAAAAGAAAAAAAAUAAAAUGAGAGAAAAAGAGAGAAGGGACAAUGCUACUAUCUCUUUUUCCACACUUGUGCUUCAAAGUAGCACCAUGAUCUUCAUGAUAGAGAGUCUCAUAUGUUGUCACUUUCAUAUACUAGUGGGAAUUUUUCAUUAUAGAACUUGGCUUGUAUAUUCCAAUGAUGGGCUUCCUCAAAAUGCCCUAGGUCUUCGUGAGCAAGCGAGUUGGAUAAACACCCACUUAGUUUCUUUUGUUGAGCUUUCAUAUAUUUAUAGCUCUAGUGCAUCCGUUGCAUGGCAAUCCCUACUCACUCACAUUGAUAUUUAUUAA
rnacentral:rRNA from 1 species